GGUGCUGUGGCAUAGUGGGUAAAGCCAUGGCCUGCAGUGCCAGCAUCCCAUAUGGGCGCCGGUUCGAGUCCUGGCUGCUCCA
rfam:Oryctolagus cuniculus chromosome 6, whole genome shotgun sequence.